UACGAAGGGACCUAGCGUAGUUCGGAAUUACUGGGCUUAAAGAGUCCGUAGGUGGUUGAAAAAGUUGGUGGUGAAAUCCCAGAGCUUAACUCUGGAACUGCCAUCAAAACUUUUCAGCUAGAGUAUGAUAGAGGAAAGCAGAAUUUCUAGUGUAGAGGUGAAAUUCGUAGAUAUUAGAAAGAAUACCAAUUGCGAAGGCAGCUUUCUGGAUCAUUACUGACACUGAGGAACGAAAGCAUGGGUAGCGAAGAGGAUUAGAUACCCUCGUAGUCCAUGCCGUAAACGAUGUGUGUUAGACGUUGGAAAUUUAUUUUCAGUGUCGCAGCGAAAGCGAUAAACACACCGCCUGGGGAGUACGACCGCAAGGUUAAAACUCAAAUGAAUUGACGGGGACCCGCACAAGUAGUGGAGCAUGUGGUUUAAUUCGAAGAUACGCGCAGAACCUUACCAACACUUGACAUGUUCGUCGCGACUCUAAGAGAUUAGAGUUUUCGGUUCGGCCGGACGAAACACAGGUGCUGCAUGGCUGUCGUCAGCUCGUGUCGUGAGAUGUUGGGUUAAGUCCCGCAACGAGCGCAACCCUCACUUUUAGUUGCCAUCAUUAAGUUGGGCACUCUGAAAGAACUGCCAGUGAUAAGCUGGAGGAAGGUGGGGAUGACGUCAAGUCCUCAUGGCCCUUACGUGUUGGGCUACACACGUGCUACAAUGGUAUCUACAACAGGAAGCAAGACUGCGAGGUUAAGCAAAUCCCUAAAAGAUACCUCAGUUCGGAUUGCACUCUGCAACUCGAGUGCAUGAAGCUGGAAUUACUAGUAAUCGUGGAUCAGCGUGCCACGGUGAAUGCGUUCCCGGGUCU
rnacentral:rRNA from 1 species